UCCCUGAAAGGUGUCAUGUGACUGUUUGUCUGGUGCCCUGCCCCUACCAGGUGUGCCUCGCUCUUCUGACAUUGUGUGAACAGUAAAAUCAGCAGGCGCUGAAGGCAUCAGCCACGAGUAUUUAAGUGUGGAGAAGAUGUGACUGAUAUUCAGACCGGGGAAAGACGAGGAACCACAAUCGCACCUCUGUGUCCAUUCCAGCUGUAGAGCGCUGAGAGAAUCACCCCUGAGCCAUGCGUCCUCUCGUGGUUUCUGCCAUCUUACUUCUGGUGUCUCUGAUGCACAUGGCGGAGGCUAAUGAGGCUACAAUUGCUAGAAUCUGUAAGGAGCGGUAUCCCCAGAAAGAAUGUCCGGGGAGUAAGGAAUGGUUCCAGCUGGAUGACAAGCGAUGCAUGCACGUCGUCGCACGACCUAUGACCUUUCCAGAUGCAGAGGUACCACACACACACACACACAAAGGGACACAGAAGAAUAGGCACACAAAUAACAUAUUUAGAGGCCGAUAUAAUUAUUACUCUUA